AUACUUACCUGGCAGGGGAGAUACCAUGAUCACAAAGGUGGUUUUCCCAGGGCGAGGCUUAUCCAUUGCACUCUGGAUGUACUGACCCCUGCAAUUUCCCCUAGUUAUUGUGGGAAACUAGACUGCCUAAUUUGUGCUAGUGGGAGACUGCAUUUGUGCUCUCUCCUG